AUAGGAGUAGUUCAAUUGGAAGAACAAUAGUCUCCAAAACUAUAAGAUGUAGGUUCAAGUCCUGCCUCCUAUG
rnacentral:tRNA from 2 species